UGCAGUGAAGCUGUUGCCAAAGGUCUCAGGCUCGUCUAAGGCUAACUGGGUGCUGGGAAUCUAAGUUUAGUUAUGUGGUCAUGGGCUUGUGGCAGUCCUUGGUACCUCUCCUGGGGGCUUUUCCCUAAGGUGAGCAAUCUGGGACAGAGCAAGAGAAUAUCCCCAAGAAAGACACUGCAAUUGUUUUGUCACAAUAUCAGAUGUGACAUUCCAUCACUUCUUGUAUUCUAUUCGACAGAAGGCAGUCACCAGGUUCAGCCUUACACAGGAAUGUGCAUAGCAGGAGGGGAUUAUUGGGGUCACCUUAAAGGCUGCCUACUAUACUAGACUUCAAAAAUUCAAAGUACCUCUGGAUUUUUCCUUCUCCUUUUUCUUUCCUUAAUCAGCUGAUUCAGCAGUGAUUCAUAGAGCAUCUAUUGUGCAUAAUGCCUUGUGGUAAAUACCAUGGGAAACACAACAAUAUUUAAUCACAGAGCUCUGCAUUUCACUUGAGGGGUCCAAAUCUACAGUGAGAUAAGGUUCUGGAAGAAUGUUCAAACCCACAUCUCCUUACACACUAGAAUCCAUAUACAACAUACUUGCAGCAUUGGAGGUAUUAUGUCUUGAAGAGCUAAAGCAGAUCUAUGCAGAAUUGAGUCAGAGAACAUGCCAUGGAAGGAAACACAACCUCCCCAAACCAACUGGGCCAGUUCUAAAGCUAAGAGGAAAAGCAGUGGCUCUCAGUGCACCAAGUCUGUGUGAACUUUGUUUGCCAUGCCAGGAAUUCUCUUGUGCUCUUUCUUACCCUGGUCUUUCUUCUGUCUCCAGAGAGUUCCCUCAACACCAGGACAUAGAACUUCGUCCACUGUCUCCCCAAAUCUUCACAUUUCAAUUGAUCUCCCAGUUGCUGCAGAAUGGAUUGUAGUUAAGAGGAACAACAUAACUGGUAGAGCAGCUACUUGCCUUGUGUAGGAAUUUUAUUUAGGUGAUAUUGUUAGUAACAACAGUAAACAUUUAUUAAGAACUAGCACAAUAUUUGACACAGGAAGACCUGUUACAUAAAUAAAGUCUGGUGAGUUUAUAAUUCA
rnacentral:lncRNA from 12 species